rnacentral:rRNA from 1 species
UACGUAGGGUGCAAGCGUUAAUCGGAAUUACUGGGCGUAAAGCGUGCGCAGGCGGUUAUGUAAGACAGAUGUGAAAUGCCCGGGCUUAACCUGGGAACUGCAUUUGUGACUGCAUGGCUAGAAUCUGGCAGAGGGGGGUAGAAUUCCACGUGUAGCAGUGAAAUGCGUAGAUAUGUGGAGGAAUACCGAUGGCGAAGGCGGCCCGCUGGGCAGGAAGACACCGCAAGGUGUCGGCUGACGCUGAGGCGCGACAGCGUGGGGAGCAAACAGG